UACGGAGGGGGCUAGCGUUAUUCGGAAUUAUUGGGCGUAAAGGGCGCGUAGGCGGCCCGGUAAGUCAACGGUGAAAUCCCUCGGCUCAACUGAGGAACUGCCGUUGAAACUGUCGGGCUUGAGUCCGGGAGGGGGUAGCGGAAUUCCCAGUGUAGCGGUGAAAUGCGUAGAUAUUGGGAGGAACACCGGUGGCGAAGGCGGCUACCUGGACCGGUUCUGACGCUGAUGCGCGAAAGCGUGGGUAGCAAACAGG
rnacentral:rRNA from 1 species